UCGGACGAAACGUCUUCACUCUUCCCAUCUCAGGCUCGCCGCUCGCAUCUAUUCCCCAUUUCCCCUUCCCUCCUCUAGGGUUUCCAUUCCAUCCCCUCAAGGAUUUCUAUUCCAUCCCUCCUCAGUCCUCUUGGCCAACGAUCCCCUACCAUCUUCCCCACCGUCAACAAUAGAUGGCCGUCUACUACCGGCUCCUCUCCGUUCACAGUCGUGCUAAAGGAAACUCAGACUCAGAGAAAGUUCAAGUAUUCUCCUCCUCCUCCUCAACCUCCUCCCUUAGAUGGUGCUCCUCCAGUCCUCCCCGGUCUCCCCUCAUUAUGGGAGCACUGGCCAGGAUCUGGCCUCCAUCUUCUCUUUAGCUGUCGGCACACUCGACAUCACGAUGAUGGCAAACUCGGAGGAUUCACGAGGAUUUUUGCUCCGAUCUUUGGAGUUGGUAUUCUCCUUCGAUCUCUGUGGAAGCACGGACAUAUGCUGAGGAGAAUGGCCUCUUCUUUAUGGAAACCUCUGCUAAAACUGCGAUAAAUGUGAAUGACAUAUUCUAUGAAAUUGGUGAGUAUUAAUUCUCAAUUUGCUACAUUAGAGGAUAAGGAUUCUUAUUUAUAAAUUUUACAAAUAUUUUUAAAACUAAUGGAGAUACAUUUUCCUUGGGUGAUAACUGAUUCUGGUAUUGAUUUUGUUGUGUCAUAUGUUUCUUCCUCUCAGCUAUUUAGGUGAUAGAUUACCACUCUGUUACUUUCUUUUCGAUGUUGCAGUAACUUGCAGGUUGCUCCUGUAGUUAGGCUUAAUGUAUGUCAUUCUUUCCCAAAUGAAUAUUGGGCAUCACCACCACCAGGUGACAGAUAACUGGUGGUGAUGGCCAAUGAAUGGCUGAGGCUUGACAUUCUAUGCAUUAGUUUCCAGUUAGGGAGCAUGCAUAUACAUA